rnacentral:rRNA from 1 species
UACGUAGGGGGCAAGCGUUGUCCGGAAUCAUUGGGCGUAAAGAGCGUGUAGGCGGCCCGGUAAGUCCGCUGUGAAAGUCAAAGGCUCAACCUUUGAAUGUCAGCGGAUACUGCCGGGCUAGAGUCCGGAAGAGGCGAGUGGAAUUCCUGGUGUAGCGGUGGAAUGCGCAGAUAUCAGGAGGAACACCAGUGGCGAAGGCGGCACUCUGGGCCAGUACUGACGCUGAGGAGCGAAAGCGUGGGGAGCGAACAGG